rnacentral:rRNA from 1 species
CCCUUUGAUGUCCUGGGCUGCACGCGCGCUACACUGAUGUGUCCAGUAAGCACCUAACCUCUUCCGAAAGGAACGGGUAACCUUUGCAAAGCACAUCGUGAUGGGGAUAGAUUAUUGCAAUUAUUAGUCUUGAACGAGGAAUUCCUAGUAAGCACAAGUCAUCAGCUUGUGUUGAUUACGUCCCUGCCCUUUGUACACACCGCCCGUCGCUCCUACCGAUUGAAUGUUCCGGUGAGCUCUUCGGACUGCGCGGUCUGCAGUUUCUGCGUUCCGUGCGGAAAGUUGCGCAAACCUUAACAUUUAGAGGAAGGAGAAGUCGUAACA